rnacentral:sRNA from 1 species
AAGAAGGAAAAGGUCCGGGUCGCGUUUCCGCUCACUUUUUGCCAGGGUUGAGGCGAUUCCAGAGAGCGGUGGAAAGGAUAAGCCUCGACUUAGAAGCUACCGAGUUACUCUAAGAAAGUUUUGGGUUCUUAUAAGUAAAGCUGCUAGGAGUACAUGUCUACAAGAUUCAAGAAGCUAGUUCCCAGCCUUCACUUUUUUGGUUGUACAAUAUACUAGCUCUCUAGGUUUGGUACAUGACGAUGCCUUUAGAUCAUCUCCAAAAAAGUAACAUCAUAAUUGUAUUGUGACAUCCAUAUGUAUUGGAUUUUUAAAGAUUGUUUCCAAAGAUUCAGCUGUACAGAGUGUGUGUGCCUAAUACUUUUCUAACUUGGAAAUAAUUCAGUGGUGGCUAAAGCUGGCUUGUACUGCCUGCAAAAGCUGAUUGGUAAAUUUUCAAGAAUUUGUAAGCCAACUGUUAAACACAGCCAUUAUUUUAAAAAUUAUGUAGAGUUAUUAUUAAAUACAUAUAUUAAAAAUAAAAGUAAUACCUCCUC